rnacentral:lncRNA from 1 species
UCUUAUUACACUAAAUCAGUAUAUCCUUUCACUUUAAUAUGCGAAUAAAAAUUGCAUGCAUAAUCCAACAAAUUAAAUAGCUUUGUCCAUUCCAUUCAGGUAUAUGCUGUAAAGUAUGCUACUCUGUACGGUAUGCCUGCAUACCUUACCUACCGAAAUAUAAUAAAGAGUGAUCCAAACCAGUAACCGAGCAUUAAAGGCACAUCAGAACCUGCAAAUAAAGAUAGUUUAGCUUAUGGGAGCAAAACCACUAAUUUUGCAGAUAAUGCAUAUGGCUGUUGUGUUAAUAUUGAAUAUAUUGAAUUUGGAUAUCACAAGUAUCCAUGCUCUGUCAAGUGAUGAAGCACAUAUCUUACUGCUCGCCUAAAAUGAAUCUCAACAUUUGAGCAUAAUAACACGAUGGGAAUUAGUUGACUGUCUGGAGAGUAUAAAAGUUACCGCCGAGCCCCACGGAAAGAAGAUCAGUUGAUCUGAAAGAUGUUUGGCUACAAAUUUCAUUUCGAUGUGAAAUAGUGACACAAACAAUGGAAUAAUCAGUCUCGGAGGGGACAGCAACUCAAGAUGUAUUCAAUUUGUCUUAUUCAUCACAUAUAAAACUGUGAUAGAUGAGGAGAAUUCAACUAUGAUAUAUGUAAAAAGAAAAGCUGAUUCCACACCACUACAAAGUUGAAAAUUUCCUUCUAUUCUGCACAAACUGGUAUGCAGAUAGGAACUACCAUCCAAUCCAAGGUUCUCAAACAUUAAGCUCAAGCUCGUAUGCCAGCAGGUUCAUUUGAGCAUGGGCAAAUACUGUUGCGCAUAUGCACACAUCUGCGAGAAGUGCGUGCCAAAUAGAUACAGACACACAUAGAUAGAUAGAUAGAUAGACAGACAG